CACUCCUGCGGGAGGCAGCAGUGGGGAAUAUUGGACAAUGGGCGCAAGCCUGAUCCAGCCAUGCCGCGUGAGUGAUGAAGGCCCUAGGGUUGUAAAGCUCUUUCACCGGUGAAGAUAAUGACGGUAACCGGAGAAGAAGCCCCGGCUAACUUCGUGCCAGCAGCCGCGGUAAUACGAAGGGGGCUAGCGUUGUUCGGAUUUUCUGGGCGUAAAGCGCACGUAGGCGGACUAUUAAGUCAGGGGUGAAAUCCCGGGGCUCAACCCCGGAACUGCCUUUGAUACUGGUAGUCUUGAGUUCGAGAGAGGUGAGUGGAAUUCCGAGUGUAGAGGUGAAAUUCGUAGAUAUUCGGAGGAACACCAGUGGCGAAGGCGGCUCACUGGCUCGAUACUGACGCUGAGGUGCGAAAGCGUGGGGAGCAAACAGGAUUAGAAACCCCUGUAGUCC
rnacentral:rRNA from 1 species